GUCGGUUCCACCUGCGCGGAAGGCAGCGAUCCACUGCACGUUUGGACUCCUUGCUAGCUCAAACGUAAACGAGACAGCGACAUUCAAAUGAACGAAGCACUCGUUGCAUGGCAUUGCUAUGACGUUGAUGGUGUUUUGGAAUGCGAAAGUCUCUUGCAACUACUAGGAGUCCACAAAGCCGACCGACAUUCAUCAGAGAGGCUCGAACAUUGUCGAGGCAAAUGUUUGUCGUCCCCCCCCCCCCCUUUGAAAAUGUCGCCAAAGUGGUCCAAAUAAUGCCAACAGAAAGGAGCUCCGGCGAGGUUGGUUGGCUAGCUACGGUUCAAAGUCGGAAUGUCGGCGCUCUUGCCGCCGCCGCACGGGUGCCGGCCCAGCUGGUACUUGUAAGCGAAGGCGCGGUCGCAGGCGUGGCAUCGGAACACCUUCUCCCCCGUGUGUCUUCUCAAGUGGGUCAUCAAGGUGACUUUCUGAGAGAAGGAUUUACUGCAGAAAGAGCAGGCAAAGGGUCUCUCCCCGGUGUGCGUCCUCGCGUGCUGCACCAACGCCGAGCCCACGGUGAAGCUGGCGCCGCACGCCGAACAAGAGAAGGGUUUCCCGCCGGUGUGGAUGCGGGUGUGAGUCAGCAGGUUUCCCUUCAAGGAGAAGCCUUUGGCGCAGAAGGGGCAGCUAAAAGGUUUCUCUCCCGUGUGCGUGCGGGCGUGCCGCAUCAAGAUUCCCUUCUGAGAGAAACGCUUGCCGCACGCUGAGCAGCCGAACAGUUUUUCUCCCGUGUGGCAGCCCAUGUGGCGCUUCAGGUUGCUCUUGCUACCAAAGGUUUUGGCGCACUGAGGGCACCUGAAGGCUUUGGCGCUCCUGGGGCCUCCUCUCGGGCGGUCCUCGUCUGGAGAGCGCCGCGAUGGCGAGGACGUAUCUGCCAACGGCGCCGUGGGCUUCUCCUUGCCGCCACGGUUGCCGUCUUCGCUCUUCACCGCGGCGACGGUAUGCUUGCCGGCGUCAGCUUCCUGGCUGAUGCUGACUUCUUGCUCUUCCUCCUUGAUGCUGGGGGAGCGGGUCCCCUCCUCCUUCUCCUCCUUUUUGAUGAAGGGGCAUGCUUCCCCUCGGAGGCAGGGCGACCACAGCGCCUCCUCUUGGGACUCCAAAGCUUCGCAUGUCACGCCCGAGAGCUUCUCUCUCCGCUCAACACCUGCGAGACACCGGAAGACCGGAACGUAAUUUCAAUCUCUUUGUGUGUCUUGGCAUGUGAGGAGCUUGACAAUAAAGCAGACUUUGACUUUUGUCAUGUUUUGCCAUUUGAUGCCUGACUGCAAUGAUGUAUUUGAAUGAAUGAAAAUAUCAUUUCAUAAUCAAUUCCUUUAGAAACAAUCUUUUUUUUCCCCUCAUACUUUUGUAUUUUCUAUCUUAUUCUUUCCAACCUUAGGCCAAGAAAAAAUGCUCCUUGUGCGCUUCCCAA